UCUACCUUUUGCUACGGAAUAACUCAGGGAAACUUGUGCUAAUACCGUAUGUGCCCUUCGGGGGAAAGAUUUAUCGGCAAAGGAUGAGCCCGCGUUGGAUUAGCUAGUUGGUGAGGUAAAGGCUCACCAAGGCGACGAUCCAUAGCUGGUCUGAGAGGAUGAUCAGCCACACUGGGACUGAGACACGGCCCAGACUCCUACGGGAGGCAGCAGUGGGGAAUAUUGGACAAUGGGCGCAAGCCUGAUCCAGCCAUGCCGCGUGAGUGAUGAAGGUCUUAGGAUUGUAAAGCUCUUUCACCGGUGAAGAUAAUGACGGUAACCGGAGAAGAAGCCCCGGCUAACUUCGUGCCAGCAGCCGCGGUAAUACGAAGGGGGCUAGCGUUGUUCGGAUUUACUGGGCGUAAAGCGCACGUAGGCGGACUUUUAAGUCAGGGGUGAAAUCCCGGGGCUCAACCCCGGAACUGCCUUUGAUACUGGAAGUCUUGAGUAUGGUAGAGGUGAGUGGAAUUCCGAGUGUAGAGGUGAAA
rnacentral:rRNA from 1 species